UGGGGAAUAUUGGACAAUGGGCGAAAGCCUGAUCCAGCCAUGCCGCGUGUGUGAAGAAGGUCUUCGGAUUGUAAAGCACUUUAAGUUGGGAGGAAGGGCAUUAACCUAAUACGUUAGUGUUUUGACGUUACCGACAGAAUAAGCACCGGCUAACUCUGUGCCGGCAGCCGCGGUAAUACAGAGGGUGCAAGCGUUAAUCGGAAUUACUGGGCGUAAAGCGCGCGUAGGUGGUUUGUUAAGUUGGAUGUGAAAUCCCCAGGCUCAACCUGGGAACUGCAUUCAAAACUGACUGACUAGAGUAUGGUAGAGGGUGGUGGAAUUUCCUGUGUAGCGGUGAAAUGCGUAGAUAUAGGAAGGAACACCAGUGGCGAAGGCGACCACCUGGACUAAUACUGACACUGAGGUGCGAAAGCGUGGGGAGCAAACA
rnacentral:rRNA from 1 species